rnacentral:tRNA from 1 species
GGAAAGGUGUCCGAGUGGUUUAAGGUGCAGAUCUGGAACGUCUGUUUUGUGAAAGCAAACGAGGGUUCGAAUCCCUCCCUUUCCG